rnacentral:lncRNA from 1 species
GUUUUAACUUUAAAAGCCUUUGAUGAACACUCAAACUGGGGAAAUCUGAAGUAUUAACAGGCAAGACCUGGGAAAGAGAAUAAAGUUAACUUUGUGAUGGGCAUAGAGAACGGCACCUUGGUCAAUUCAGCAUUUGGAACAAUUGUGAAUACUAUGGUUCUUUGCCUUCUUUGGGGUGUGUCCCUGGGACAGGCCUUGUUUUCUCCUAUCAUCUCCUUGUGGCCAGACUAUGUAGUUCCUUGAAUCAUUACAUAGCCAAGGCUGGCCUGGAUGGAACUCAUGGCAGAUCUCAUGCCUCAAGUGCUGGGAUGACAAGGACACACCACAGUGCCAGGUAAAACCAUGAUUCCUUCCCA